CUCAGGGCGUUGUGCUUGCCAGGAAGGUGCUUGUGCCACUGAGUUAUAUCCCCACCCCCAUCAUUCUAUAUACUCCUGGAUACAUAUAUGUUGCCUUCUGUGGGAUCCUCAAAGUAUUUGGAAGACUAAACAAAAGCAACUGGAAAUUUCACAAUAGAAGGUGAAGUUCUGAGGAGAUAUCAAGGCCUUGAGGAUAUGAGACAGAACCUUCUGGAAAAUAUUCUGAGAGCUGAAGAAAGCAAAAGAAGACCUAUGUGAGCAAAAGAGCUAAGGUAUGUUAGAAACAGCAAAAGUGAUGAAAAC
rnacentral:lncRNA from 1 species